CGAUUGUGGCCGUCCGACGGUGCCCCGCCCGUCCUGACGGAUGACGGGGAUAAUAGGGAAUGCGGUGCGGAUCUCCGUUGCACGGGGUCCAAUGCCGCGGCUGCCCCCGCAACUGUGUGCGGCGAGCGUCCCGUCCAUCAUGCCACUGGCCUUUGCGCCGGGAAGGCGGACGGCGAUGCGACGACCCGCGAGCCAGGAAACCUGCCGGCGGAUGAAUCGACCU
rnacentral:ncRNA from 2 species